GAGUUUGAUCGUGGCUCAGAACGAACGCUGGCGGCGUGCCUAACACAUGCAAGUCGAGCGGGAAAAUUCCCUUCGGGGAGUGAGUACAGCGGCGAACGGGUGAGUAACACGUAGGUAACCUACCCUGGAGACUGGGAUAACCUGCCGAAAGGCGGGCUAAUACCGCAUACGAACUACGGUUGAAAGCGGGGGAUCGCAAGGACCUCGCGCUAUUGGAGCGGCCGAUGUCAGAUUAGGUAGUUGGUGGGGUAAAAGCCUACCAAGCCUUCGAUCUGUAGCUGGUCUGAGAGGACGACCAGCCACACUGGGACUGAGACACGGCCCAGACUCCUACGGGAGGCAGCAGUGGGGAAUUUUGGACAAUGGGCGCAAGCCUGAUCCAGCCAUGCCGCGUGAGUGAUGAAGGCCUUCGGUUGU
rnacentral:rRNA from 1 species